CAUGUAGGCGGCAUGACAAGUCUGGUGUGAAAUAUCUCGGCUCAACCGAGAAAACGCACUGGAAACUGUCAAGCUUGAGUAUCGGAGGGGAAGCUAGAAUUCCUGGUGUAGGGGUGAAAUCUGUAGAUAUCAGGAAGAAUACCGGUGGCGAAGGCGAGCUUCUGGCCAGAUACUGACGCUGAGAUGCGAAAGCGUGGGGAGUAAACAGGAUUAGAUACCCUGGUAGUCC
rnacentral:rRNA from 1 species